AAACACCGCUAUAAGUACCGCCCUCUUUGUUCGUCACAUCCUCUUUCCGUUGCUCUUCUCGCUUUGAGAAACUUCUCCACACGAUGAGAGCCAAGUGGAGGAAGAAGCGUAUGCGCAGGCUGAAGCGUAAAAGGAGAAAGAUGAGGCAGAGGUCAAAGUAAGCCCUCAUCCCUGCCAGCUGUGAUCCCGUCAGAGCUUCUCCAGAUGGACUGACGCAUGUGGCUGAAGUGGAGCCUCAGUCGGAACAGAGGCCUAAACCCUGAUUUCGGAUGACCCGGCGUCUCAUGGAGCCAGUUGUGACUGUCCGACUGGAAGAUGGCAAAGAUGCUGGAUGGAUCUCACAACAUCAGAACUACAGCUGUUUUGUUCAUGGACCUUGAUGCAUGCAUUUAACAACAGUCAUGUGGUGUUUUGAACAAUAAAUGAACACUGUUAAAAUUUUA